GCUUUUUAGUAACCUUAUAUGCUAUAGGUGAGAGCUUGUUGAAGUAGUAUAUGACUUCACCAGGGAUACGAUUCUAACAAAACUCAAACGUGAAUGAUAACAUUUACCUUUAGUUUACUUAAGGAUGUCAAUGAUGAGUACGUCCCACGGUCGCUCCAAAGUGGCAUUUUUUUCUUUUCUGAGCAAUAUUUGGAUGCCGUUUGUUGCUAUUUAUAACCUUGCUUUAAUAUUUCAUGACAUAUUGUUCAACAAAACAUGAUAAAUAUAUACUCCAUUCAAGAUUUUCGCG